rnacentral:rRNA from 1 species
GUGGGGAAUAUUGGGCAAUGGGGGAAACCCUGACCCAGCGACGCCGCGUGAGGGAAGAAGGCCUUAGGGUCGUAAACCUCUGUUGUGUGGGAAGAAGAGCGUGACGGUACCACACGAGGAAGUCCCGGCUAACUACGUGCCAGCAGCCGCGGUAAUACGUAGGGGACGAGCGUUGUCCGGAUUUACUGGGCGUAAAGGGCGCGUAGGCGGUCAUUUAAGUCAGCUGUGAAAUGGUUUGGCUUAACCGGAUCAUGCGGUUGAAACUGGAUGACUGGAGUGCUGGAGAGGCAAGUGGAAUUCCCAGUGUAGCGGUGAAAUGCGUAGAUAUUAGGAAGAACACCAGUGGCGAAGGCGACUUUCUGGACGAAAACUGACGCUGAGGCGCGAAAGCCAGGGGAGCGAACGGGAUUAGAAACCCGGGUAGUCC